rnacentral:rRNA from 1 species
ACGGCUCAGUAACACGUGGCUAAUCUGCCCUUAGGACGAGAACAACCCCGGGAAACUGGGGCUAACUCUUGAUAGGCGAAGAACUCUGGAAUGAGUCUUUACCUAAAAAGAUUCACGUUAUCCUCGUGAACCUGCCUAAGGAUGAGGCCGCGACCGAUCAGGUUGUUGGCGAGGUAAUGGCUCACCAAGCCUUUUACCGGUGCGGGCCGUGGGAGCGGGAGCCCGGAGAUGGGUACUGAGACAAGGACCCAGGCCCUACGGGGCGCAGCAGUCGCGAAACCUUUGCAAUAAGCGAAAGCUUGACAGGGCUAUCCCGAGUGCCAUCCGCUGAGGAAGGCUUUUACCCAGUCUAGAACGCUGGGGGAAUAGGGAGAGGGCAAGUCUGGUGUCAGCCGCCGCGGUAAUACCAGCUCUCCGAGUGGUGUGGAUGUUUAUUGGGCCUAAAGCAUCCGUAGCUGGCUAAGUUAGUCCCUUGUUAAAUCCACCGAAUUAAUCGUUGGAUCGCGGGGGAUACUGCUUGGCUAGGGGACGAGAGAGGCAGACGGUAUUUUCGGGGUAGGGGUGAAAUCCUAUAAUCCCGGGAAGACCACCAGUGGCGAAGGCUGUCUGCUAGAACGCGCCCGACGGUGAGGGAUGAAAGCUGGGGGAGCGAACCGGAUUAGAUACCCGGGUAGUCCCAGCUGUAAACGAUGCAGACUAGGUGUUUGGACGGCCACGUGCCGUUCUAGUGCCGCAGGGAAGCUGUUAAGUCUGCCGCCUGGGGAGUACGAUCGCAAGAUUGAAACUUAAAGGAAUUGGCGGGGGAGCAC